rnacentral:rRNA from 1 species
AUUGAACGCUGGCGGCAGGCCUAACACAUGCAAGUCGGGCGGAUGAAGGGAGCUUGCUCCUGGAUUCAGCGGCGGACGGGUGAGUAAUGCCUAGGAAUCUGCCUGGUAGUGGGGGAUAACGUCCGGAAACGGGCGCUAAUACCGCAUACGUCCUGAGGGAGAAAGUGGGGGAUCUUCGGACCUCACGCUAUCAGAUGAGCCUAGGUCGGAUUAGCUAGUUGGUGGGGUAAAGGCCUACCAAGGCGACGAUCCGUAACUGGUCUGAGAGGAUGAUCAGUCACACUGGAACUGAGACACGGUCCAGACUCCUACGGGAGGCAGCAGUGGGGAAUAUUGGACAAUGGGCGAAAGCCUGAUCCAGCCAUGCCGCGUGUGUGAAGAAGGUCUUCGGAUUGUAAAGCACUUUAAGUUGGGAGGAAGGGCAGUAAGUUAAUACCUUGCUGUUUUGACGGUACCAACAGAAUAAGCACCGGCUAACUUCGUG